AAAGCGCACGUAGGCUGACUGGAAAGUCAGAGGUGAAAUCCCAGGGCUCAACCUUGGAACUGCCUUUGAAACUCCCAGUCUUGAGGUCGAGAGAGGUGAGUGGAAUUCCGAGUGUAGAGGUGAAAUUCGUAGAUAUUCGGAGGAACACCAGUGGCGAAGGCGGCUCACUGGCUCGAUACUGACGCUGAGGUGCGAAAGCGUGGGGAGCAAACAGGAUUAGAUACCCUUGU
rnacentral:rRNA from 1 species